GCCUGGGUGGCUCAGCGGUUGAGUGUCUGCCUUCGGCUCAGGGCGUGAUUCCGGGGUCCUGGGUUCGAGUCCCACAUCAGGCU
rnacentral:tRNA from 1 species